GGGACUGAUAGACGACUCGGAGAGCGUCAUCUUUAUUAAUCUGGACAGCCAUCGUAACGUGAUGAUGCGUCUGAACCUGCAGCUGACGAUGGGCUCCUUCUCUCUCACUCUGUUUGGGCUCAUAGGAGUCGCCUUUGGAAUGAAUUUAACAACAGCUUUUGAAGACGACCCUCGGGCUUUCUGGCUGGUAACUGGCUUCAUGUUCUUGGGCAGCGGGCUCAUCUGGAGACGACUCUUAUCAUUUUUGGGAAGGCAUCUAGAGCCUUCACUUCUC